AACAAACGCUGGCGGCGUGCCUAAUACAUGCAAGUCGAACGGGUAGCAAUACCAGUGGCGCACGGGUGAGGAAUACAUAGAUAAUCUGCCUUCGAGUCGGGGAUAACCAGUCGAAAGAUUGGCUAAUACCGGAUAAGACCACAGGAGCUGAGGCUCUAGGGGUUAAAGGUUUUUCGCUUGAAGAUGAGUCUAUGCGAGAUUAGCUAGUUGGUGAGGUAAUGGCUCACCAAGGCGACGAUCUCUAACUGGUCUUAGAGGAUGAUCAGUCACACUGGAACUGAGACACGGUCCAGACUCCUACGGGAGGCAGCAGUAGGGAAUAUUGCGCAAUGGGGGAAACCCUGACGCAGCGACGCCGUGUGAGUGAUGAAGGCCUUCGGGUCGUAAAGCUCUGUCGUAUGGGAAUAACACAAUGAAUGUACCAUGCAAGAAAGGAUCGGCUAACUUCGUGCCAGCCGCCGCGGUAACAC
rnacentral:rRNA from 1 species